rnacentral:lncRNA from 1 species
GGGGAAGUUAGUAAUUUAUUCGUUUAGUUUAAGGAGUUGUUUUUUUUUGGUACCAUUGAUCUGCUGUCAUCUUUUGUGAAUGCUUUCGCUUUGAUUGCUUACAAAGUGCUUGACACAACCCAAUGGAGUGGUUAAUCAGUGCGCGCGUCAGUUUUCUUCUUUUUGGUUUCUCAUGGGGUUUGAGCUGCAAAGGAGGGGGCAAAGGGACGUAGGGUGAAAAAAAUAUUAACAAUGAUUAUUGUGGAAUUGGGUGGGUAAUUAAACAACAAACGUAAGUUAGUGUUUCUCUUGUAGUGUGUGAAGUUCGUAGUACUGCUUAUCAGGAUUCCAAUUCAUGCAUUUAAAUCUCCAUUAUUCAGUGUUUUAUAUAUAUCUGAGGAAAUAUAUGUGAGGCUUGUACCCAAUCAAUCUUCAAAUCUUACUGAACUCAGUGAACAUAUCAAUGCUCAACAGGUUAUGCUCACAACAUGCGCGCUAUUGUUGUUGUGCAAGAGAUUUGUUUUUAACAAAAGUACUCCCUCC